rnacentral:rRNA from 1 species
GCUUACGGCCACACCUCCCUGAUCACGCCCGAUCAUCGUCUGAUUCUCGGAAGCUAAGCAGGUUCGUGCCCGGUUAGUACUUGGAUGGGAGAACCGCCUGGGGAAUACCAGGUGGCUGUAAGCC